rnacentral:rRNA from 1 species
UAGGGAAUCUUCGGCAAUGGGGGGAACCCUGACCGAGCAACGCCGCGUGAGUGAAGAAGGUUUUCGGAUCGUAAAGCUCUGUUGGUAAGGAAGAACGAGUGUGAGAAUGGAAAGUUCAUGCUGUGACGGUACUUAACCAGAAAGGGACGGCAAACUACGUGCCAGCAGCCGCGGUAAUACGUAGGUCCCGAGCGUUGUCCGGAUUUAUUGGGCGUAAAGCGAGCGCAGGCGGUUAGAUAAGUCUGAAGUUAAAGGCAGUGGCUCAACCAUUGUAGGCUUUGGAAACUGUUUAGCUUGAGUGCAGAAGGGGGGAGUGGAAUUCCAUGUGUAGCGGUGAAAUGCGUAGAUAUAUGGAGGAACACCGGUGGCGAAAGCGGCUCUCUGGUCUGUAACUGACGCUGAGGCUCGAAAGCGUGGGGAGCGAACAGG